rnacentral:rRNA from 1 species
AUGGCAUCCAUCCCCUCCCUCGCCGUCUCCGGCGCCGCCACCGCCGUCCCAGCCGUCGUCGCUGCCAAGCCCCUGCCCAGCUCCGCCGGCUUCGACAAGGGCGGUUCUUAUCAGAGGAGCACCCAAGCAGCGGAAAAUGGCAGAUUGGAGAGUGAGAGCCCCCCUCGUCCGCUAGACGCCCAGGAAGCAAUGAGCAUGCUGAAGGACGGCCGGACUGUGCAGUCGGCGAUGUACGUGCCCCUGCUGCACCGGUGCGUCGAGACCAGAGGCCUCGGCGCCGCCAGGGCCCUGCACGGCCACAUGGCGAAGACCGGAACCGUCGCGGACAUGUUCGUGGCGACGUCCCUGGUAAACGUGUACAUGAGGUGCGGGGCGAGCCGGGACGCGCGCAGCCUGUUCGACGAAAUGCCCGAGAAGAACGUGGUCACCUGGACGGCGCUGAUUACAGGAUAUACUCUGAACUCUGAAGCGGUGCUGGCGCUGGAGGUGUUCGUCGAGAUGCUCGAGCUUGGGAGGUACCCGUCGCAUUACACGCUGGGCGGCAUGCUGAACGCGUGCUCUGCCGCGCGCAGGAUCGAUCUGGGCCAGCAGGUCCAUGGCUACUCGAUCAAGUAUGGGGCUGAUACCAUCACGAGCAUGAGCAAUUCACUUUGUAGGAUGUACUGCAAGUCUGGAGACUUACAAUCUGGUCUGAGGGCCUUUAAGGGGACCCCUGACAAGAAUGUGAUCACCUGGACGACGAUGAUAUCGUCCUGCGCCGAAGACGAGAACUACCUGGAGCUUGGGCUGAGCUUGUUUCUCGAUAUGCUCGAGGGAGGGGUGACGCCGAAUGAGUUCACGUUGACCAGUGUCAUGAGCUUGUGUGGCGCGAGGCUGGAUAUGAAUCUCGGCAAGCAGGUCCAGGCUUUCUGCUACAAGGUUGGGUGUGAAGCGAAUCUUCCAGUGAAGAACUCCACAAUGUACCUCUAUCUCAGGAAGGGCGAAACGGACGAGGCUAUGCGGUUGUUUGAAGAGAUGGACAGCAGCAGUAUUAUCACGUGGAAUGCAAUGAUCUCCGGGUAUGCUCAAAUCAUGGACUCGGCAAAGGAUGACCUCCAUGCUCGUUCCAGAGGGUUCCAGGCACUCAAAUUGUUCCGUGAUCUCGUGAGGUCUGAAUUGAAGCCUGAUCUGUUCACCUUCUCAAGCAUCCUGUCAGUCUGCAGCGCCAUGAUGGCCUUGGAGCAGGGUGAGCAAAUCCACGCAACCACCAUAAAGACUGGAUGUCUGUCGGAUGUUGUUGUGAACAGCGCACUGGUAAACAUGUAUAACAAGUGCGGAUGCAUCGAGUGUGGGACCAAAGCCUUCGUCGAGAUGCCAACACGGACACCUGUCACUUGGACCUCUAUGAUUUCAGGGUACUCGCAGCAUGGCAGGUCCCGAGAUGCGAUACAGCUCUUUGAGGACAUGAUAUUAUCUGGCGCCAAACCAAACGAAAUCACAUUCGUAAGUUUGCUGUCAGCCUGCAGCUAUGCUGGUUUAGUAGAGGAGGCUGAGCGCUACUUUGACAUGAUGCGGAAUGAGUAUCAUAUAGAGCCUCUUGUGGACCAUUACGGGUGCAUGGUUGACAUGUUUGUGCGAUUGGGCCGGCUGGAUGAUGCAUUUUCCUUCAUCAAGAGAACAGGCUUUGAGCCGAAUGAGGCCAUCUGGUCUAGUUUGGUAGCUGGAUGUCGGAGUCACGGGAACAUGGAGCUUGCUUUCUACGCUGCUGAUAGGCUCCUUGAGCUCAAGCCGAAAGUGAUUGAAACAUAUGUCUUGCUGUUGAACAUGUACGUGUCUACUGGUAGAUGGCGUGACGUCGCUAGGGUGCGGAAACUGGCCAAACAUGAAGAUGUCGGGUUUCUCAGAGACCGUAGCUGGAUUGCAAUCAGAGACAAGGUGUAUUUCUUUAGAGCUGAUGACAUGACUCACCCUCAAGCUACCGAGUUGUAUCAAUUGUUGGAGAAUUUGCUGGAAAAGGCUAAGGCUGUAGGGUACGAACCGUACCAGAACGCUCCUGAGUUGUUAUCUGACAGCACGGAGGGCGAUGACGACAGGCCUGCUGCUGCUGCAGGUUCACUAAUAAAGCACCACAGUGAGAGGUUAGCUGUUGCACUGGGGCUGCUCAAAACACCUCCUGGUGCGACAGUCCGUGUGACCAAGAACAUCACCAUGUGCAGGGACUGCCACAGCUCUAUCAAAUACUUCUCAUUACUUGCAAACAGAGAGAUUGUUGUCCGGGACAGUAAACGGCUUCACAAGUUCAAGGAUGGUCGGUGCUCCUGUGGGGAUUUUGGUUUGACUUACUCUGAAGAACUUGUUUACUGCAAGUCUCAUAGCACUUGGUCCUCUCUCUUCCUUCCGGCGGGAAAGAAGAAAAAUAGGGCUCAAUUCCGGUUGGGUAACGAAAAGGCUCUUCGAUCUGGCAGCUGCCCACACCGCCGUUCCCUGUCCUUAAGUUCCAGUGCUUUUCCCUGCCGGAAGGAUGGGAGGAAAGGUAUGGGAAUGCAGCAGCAGCAGCAGGAGGAGUUGGCGGAGGGCGGCGUCGGGAAGAGGACGAAGGUUGCGGCGGCGUUGGGAAGGGAGGAAGGUAUUGUCACCAUGAACCUUGGCAUUCUUGACUGCCCCGUCUGCUUCCAUCCCCUGCACCCCCCAUCUUCCAGGUACCCCCUGUCCCUGUUGGUUCGUCUGUACGUGCUGUACCACUGA